UGGCGCAGUGGUGGGCGGCGGACGCGGCGGCGCUGCUGCCCCUGUCCGAGUCGGCCGGUUCGGUCCGGCAUGCGGCGG
rnacentral:tRNA from 1 species